rnacentral:rRNA from 1 species
UACGGGGGGGGCAAGCGUUGUUCGGAAUUACUGGGCGUAAAGGGCUCGUAGGCGGCCAACUAAGUCAGACGUGAAAUCCCUCGGCUUAACCGGGGAACUGCGUCUGAUACUGGAUGGCUUGAGUUCGGGAGAGGGAUGCGGAAUUCCAGGUGUAGCGGUGAAAUGCGCAGAUAUCAGGAAGAACACCUAUGGCGAAGGCAGCUCUCUGGGACGGUACUGACGCUGAGACGCGAAAGCGUGGGGAGCGAACAGG